rnacentral:rRNA from 1 species
UACGGGGGGAGCAAGCGUUGUUCGGAUUUACUGGGCGUAAAGGGCGCGUAGGCGGCCACCGCAAGUCGACUGUGAAAUCUCCGGGCUUAACCCGGAAAGGUCAGCCGAUACUGCGGGGCUAGAGUGCAGAAGGGGCAACUGGAAUUCUCGGUGUAGCGGUGAAAUGCGUAGAUAUCGGGAAGAACAUCGGUGGCGAAAGCGCUCUGCUGGACUGCAACUGACACUCAGGGACGAAAGCUAGGGGAGCGAAUGGG